rnacentral:lncRNA from 1 species
AUUUUGUUACAGCUAUUGUACUUCCCACUAGCACUUACAACUAAAUAUGAUUAAUAUCCUCUUACAAUAUCAAUAACACCAAAAAUAUGGGAUCAUAUGACAAUUUAAAAGACAAAAUAACCAAAAUAAAUGAAAAAAAACAUCAGGGUCAAUUAUCCAACUGAUUCUAACCAUGAGGGUAUUCCAGUGAAAAAUUCUAAUCACAC